rnacentral:rRNA from 1 species
UGCCGUCACUUGUGCCUUGGGGUGCUGAUGGUGUGUGUUAUGAUUGUUAGGCGAAAGGGUAACAGCCCAGAUCGGCAGCUAAGGUCCCUAACUGUAAGUUAGGUGGUAAAGGAGGUGGGAUUGCACAGACAACCAGGAUGUUGGCUUAGAAGCAGCCACUCAUUCAAAGUGUGCGUAAUAUCUUACUGGUCGAGUGAUCCUGCGCCGAAGAUUUCCGGGGCUAAAACUUACUACUGAAGCUACGGCAUCAGUAAUGAUGGGUAGGGGAGCUUCCCAUACGGGUUGAAGCAUGACCGUAAGGACAUGUGGCCAGUAUGGGAGUGAGCAUGUUGGCAUGAGUAGCGAGAUGUGGGUGAUCAUCCCCCAGGCCGUAAACCCAAGGUUUCCAGGGGCAGGUUCGUCCGCCCUGGGCUAGUCGGGACCUAAGCUGCGGCCGAAAGGCGUAGGUGAUGGACAACAGGUUGAUAUU